AUUGCACGCUGGCGGCAGGCCUAACACAUGCAAGUCGAACGAGGGGCGGACGGGUGAGUAAUGGCUGGGAAACUGCCCGAUGGAGGGGGAUAAAUACUGGAAACGGUAGCUAAUAACGCAUACCAUCGGAUGUGCCCAGAUGGGAUUAGCUAGUAGGUGGGGUACAGGCUCCCCUAGGCGACGAGCCCUAGCUGGUCUGAGUGGAUGACCAGCCACACUGGAACUGAGACACGGUCCAGACUCCUACGGGAGGCAGCAGUGGGGAAUAUUGCACAAUGGGCGCAAGCCUGAUCCAGCCAUGCCGCGUGUAUGAAGAAGGCCUUCGGGUUGUAAAGUACUUUCAGCGAGGAGGCGUUACUCGCAGAAGAAGCACCGGCUAACUCCGUGCCAGCAGCCGCGGUAAUUC
rnacentral:rRNA from 1 species